CAGGAGAAAAAAGUCAGAGAAACCAAUGAUGAGGUAAUGAGGGUUUUCCAUGCAGACCUCCUUAGACAGAGCACAGAGCUGUUGGUGGUUUCCGUCUCUUCUUCGUGAUCCCUCUCAGUCCCAGAGUCCAGAACACUCCUAAUGACUGCAACACCUCUGUCUGGCUCAGGACACACGAGACACGGAAGAAAGUGGAGUUGAAGCAGAAGACUGGUAAAGCAGUAUUACAGUAUCCCUGACUAAAAAGCACUCUUUUCCCA
ensembl:lncRNA